UACAUGGGGUGCAAACGUUGCUCGGAAUUAUUGGGCGUAAAGCGCGCGUAGGCGGUUACUUAAGUCGGAUGUGAAAGCCCUCGGCUUAACUGAGGAAGUGCACCCGAAACUGAGUAGCUGGAGUACGAAAGAGGGUCGCGGAAUUCCCGGUGUAGAGGUGAAAUUCGUAGAUAUCGGGAGGAACACCGGUGGCGAAGGCGGCGACCUGGGUCGAGACUGACGCUGAGGCGCGAAAGCCAGGGGAGCGAACGGG
rnacentral:rRNA from 1 species